GAAAUGCGAUAAGUAGUGUGAAUUGCAGAAUUCAGUGAAUCAUCGAAUCUUUGAACGCACAUUGCGCCCAUUGGCAUUCCUUUGGGCAUGCCUGUUCGAGCGUCAUUUAACCCUUCAAGCUCUGCUUGGUGUUGGGUGUCUGUCCUACCUCUUGGUUUGGACUCACCUCAAAAACAUUGGCGGCCGGUACAUUGGCUUCGAGCGCAGCAGAAACGCGAACUCAAAGACAAUGGAUCAGCUCCCAGAAGCAAACUCUUAUAUUUUGACCUCGGAUCAGGUAGGGAUACCCGCUGAACUUAA
rnacentral:misc_RNA from 1 species